rnacentral:snRNA from 1 species
GUGCUCUUUUCAGCAGCAUACAAAUACUAACAUUGGAAUGAUAAAGAAUUUACAUGGCGCCUGUGCAAGGAUGACAUGGAAAUUCGUGAAGUGUUCCAUUUUUUC